rnacentral:rRNA from 1 species
UGGGGAAUAUUGGGCAAUGGGCGAAAGCCUGACCCAGCAACGCCGCGUGAAGGAAGAAGGUCUUCGGAUCGUAAACUUCUAUCCCCGGUGAAGAUAAUGACGGUAACCGGGAAGGAAGCCCCGGCUAACUACGUGCCAGCAGCCGCGGUAAUACGUAGGGGGCAAGCGUUGUCCGGAAUGAUUGGGCGUAAAGGGCGCGUAGGCGGCUCGGUAAGUCUGGAGUGAAAUUCCUGCUUUCAAGGUGGGAACUGCUUUGGAUACUGUCGGGCUUGAGUGCAGGAGAGGUAAGUGGAAUUCCCGGUGUAGCGGUGAAAUGCGUAGAGAUCGGGAGGAACACCAGUGGCGAAGGCAGUCUUCUAGGCCGUAAUUGACGCUUAACUGCGAAGGUGUGGGGAUCAAACAGG